AGCAGUUUAAGAGAAAUCGAUUUUAAUCUUGAUAUUCAUUCAGUUGAAUAGAAAUUUUUUCAGAAAAAUAUUCAAAGCAUGGUUGGGAUGAUGAGAAUCUUCAAAUUUUAAUUGGAUCAAUAACUAAGAAGAUGGCUAUGGAUAAAUGUCGCUCAUUAUCAUUGAUUGUUCGAUGGCCAACAGGACUGAUUUUUCAACCGAUUGAUUCAUUUUGGGCGGGAAAUUAUACCAGACGUUUCAAGGUCAAUUCUGAAGCUUCAAAUCUCACUGAACAUUCAUGACAAUUCUCAUGAUUGCUCACUGCUGCCAUCUAAAGAUGAAAUUAGAUAACCUGAAGCAAGAAAUCUUCGAUAGCUGUGUGACUAUUAUUAAGAACAAAAACUUUUUUACUUUUUUCAUGUUCGAAAAUUUUGAUAAAUAUACAGUGUUUCCCGAUUGAAAUGACCAAAUUUUCAAUUGAGAAAACCUUUUUUUCAUUUGAAGUAACCGAAGAUAAAAAUAUGAAUUUACAUAUUGUUAGUUUUUAUAUGGAGAAACCCAAAUGGUUUUACUCGUAUACCAAUCGAGAUCAAUGAUACGAGACUUCGGACCUUCAUUUUUUGGCUAUUAAUGUUAAAGAAAAAAUUGGUUUACAAAUAAAGUUUCAUAUUCAAAAUCAUCAUACAUGUGAUUUCGACUUAGAAUUAAUUAAUUAAUCACAAUUAAAAGUCAUUUUGUUUCUUCAAAUGAAAAAAAGGUUUUCUUACUUGAAAGUUUGGUUUCUUCAAUCGGGAAACACUGUAAAUAAGAAAAUAUUUUGAAAUGAUGCAUCGAAUUGAGUGGGAAAAAAUUAGGUCACCAAAUGGUUAUAACGUUAGACUCGAGCACCGAUACAACGAUUUAAGACAAUAAACGAGAUAGAGUAGAUGAGUUGUAUUACAGUGGACCAAUAUUAUUAUAUUAUAUUGGACCAAAGAAAAGGGUGAUGAAAAGCCCGAGGGUUUAGUCAGUUGGCUGAUGUUACAUGACUAAAGUCAGUUUCUAGUGAAUCAAUACUCAAUUCUAGCAUUUUAUUAUAAUAAUAUAAAAGACAAGCGGAAACAAACUUUCUUACGAAAGUUUGUUAAGGUUGUUUGCCAGACCCGUGGUUUAUUGAAUCGGGAAUCGUUUUUUAAUCGAAAAAUUCGAAACUAAACUCUUUCUUUUUCUUUUCUCUCGUCUCUUUCUCUGUCUUUUUGAAAUGCGCGCUGUAACAAAGCUUAACUGCGCAUGCGCACAUAGAAAUUUUCGAGUCAGAAUUUCUUAUGACAGCUACUCAGAUUUUUUUCGUACUAUUUUUCGUAACUGUAACUUAUUAGUAUUUUCCGCUCUAUUUUUUGGUACCUUAACAUCUCAUAGAAUCUUUUAUCUCGAGCACAAUCUUUACCCAAAAUUUGAGCUUAUCUUAUUCAAGUUUGUAGAAGAAGAAGAUGCUUGAAAUUUGGUUAACAUUUGUCGAAAAAUUUUCAAUUGAUUAAGAGAAAAACAAUUAAAUUCAAAGUCAUAUGUCAAUAUUGAUUAGAUGCACGGAAAUAAUAUCAAUUUAAUAAAUUCAAUAAUCAAGAUUAGUUGCAAACAAUCAAGAUAAUUUUGAAUCAAUCGAUUAAUGGUUUCAUGGAUUUGGGGUCAAAGCAUAACUCUCGUGUCGCAAAUACAAUCGUAUCUUUCAUCAACUUCAACAUCAAGUACAUUUCGUUUUAGUACAGAGGUCAAAUGAAUG